CUUGUCUGCACUCCCGUUCUUU
rnacentral:miRNA from 1 species